CCUAGCCUCAAGUGUUUCUCUUGCCUCAGCUUUCUGAGUAGCUGCGAUUACAGCCUGAGACACCAUGCCUGGCAAAAUAUUUUUAAUAUUGAUUUUUUUUUUCAUUUUUAAUGAAUGCUGAGAAAAUUCCUGAAGAUUUAACAAUUGGCCCUUGGGAGCUGGUAGGAGCUGGUUCCAGCUGGUAUGAGACCCAGCAGGCUGCCCUGAUUCUGGAGACUGUGAGCCACUUCACUACAAGAACUUGGAGUCCUUGCCUUUGCAUUCCCGGUGCCCGGCAAAGUGCCCACCUCCAAAGGUGCCCAGUAAAUAUCGAACAAAAUGCCUUCAUAUGAUCCAUCCAGAAGAACGUUGGAGUUUCUAGAACCAAAUUAGGAGGACUGAGCCUUCUUCAGUCUCUAAUUCAGGAGCACCACCUCUCUGCUUUCCCCCACCUCUCCCUGAAACCCCAGUCUUGCCGUGGCUGUUUGUCUGCUGUGCCCGGCCUCCUUCCCUGCCUCUCAGAGUCCUCUCUCCCUUCCCCCAUCCACCCCCUGCUCGCCCGCCUGAGUACAGGCUAUUAUCUGGGGGUGGUAAUUAUUGCGAGUAAAUUGGAAGUUGUUUUGCACA